rnacentral:rRNA from 1 species
UACAGAGGUCCCAAGCGUUGUUCGGAUUCACUGGGCGUAAAGGGUGCGCAGGUGGCUUGGUAAGUUUGAUGUGAAAGCUCAGGGCUCAACCCUGAAAUGGCAUUGAAUACUAUCGGGGCUUGAGGUUUGGAGGGGGGGACUGGGAAUUCUCGGUGUAGCAGUGAAAUGCGUAGAUAUCGAGAGGAACACCAGUGGCGAAGGCGAGUCCCUGGACAACACCUGACCACUGAGGCACGAAAGCCAGGGGAGCAAACGGG